AUACGUAGGGGGCGAGCGUUGUCCGGAUUUACUGGGCGUAAAGGGAGCGUAGGCGGAUUUUUAAGUGAGAUGUGAAAUACUCGGGCUUAACCUGAGUGCUGCAUUUCAAACUGGAAGUCUAGAGUGCAGGAGAGGAGAAGGGAAUUCCUAGUGUAGCGGUGAAAUGCGUAGAUAUUAGGAGGAACACCAGUAGCGAAGGCGGCUUUCUGGACUGUAACUGACACUGAGGCACGAAAGCGUGGGGAGC
rnacentral:rRNA from 1 species